rnacentral:rRNA from 1 species
GUUUGAUCCUGGCUCAGAUUGAACGCUAGCGGGAUGCCUUACACAUGCAAGUCGAACGGCAGCACGGACUUCGGUCUGGUGGCGAGUGGCGAACGGGUGAGUAAUGUAUCGGAACGUGCCCAGUAGCGGGGGAUAACUACGCGAAAGCGUAGCUAAUACCGCAUACGCCCUACGGGGGAAAGCAGGGGAUCGCAAGACCUUGCACUAUUGGAGCGGCCGAUAUCGGAUUAGCUAGUUGGUGGGGUAACGGCUCACCAAGGCGACGAUCCGUAGCUGGUUUGAGAGGACGACCAGCCACACUGGGACUGAGACACGGCCCAGACUCCUACGGGAGGCAGCAGUGGGGAAUUUUGGACAAUGGGGGAAACCCUGAUCCAGCCAUCCCGCGUGUGCGAUGAAGGCCUUCGGGUUGUAAAGCACUUUUGGCAGGAAAGAAACGUCGUGGGUUAAUACCCCGCGAAACUGACGGUACCUGCAGAAUAAGCACCGGCUAACUACGUG